rnacentral:rRNA from 1 species
UAUUGGAGGGCAAGUCUGGUGCCAGCAGCCGCGGUAAUUCCAGCUCCAAUAGCGUAUAUUAAAGUUGUUGCGGUUAAAAAGCUCGUAGUUGGUUCUGCGUGCCACGCUGUCGGUUCACCGCCUGUCGGUGCAACUGGCAUGCCGUGGCAUGUCCUGUCGGUGGCGUACAGGCUUCGCGGCGAUCCCUACACGAUACGUCGCGUAGGCCGUCGCGUCGUACCUGUGCGCCGACUCAAUCCUACCGCGGUGCUCUUCAUCGAGUGUCGAGGUAGGCCGACACAUUUUACUUUGAACAAAUUAGAGUGCUUAAAGCAGGCUCUUAAAUCAGCCUGAAUAAUGGUGCAUGGAAUAAUGGAACAGGACCUUGGUUCUAUUUUGUUGGUUUUAGGAAUCCAAGGUAAUGAUCAAUA